ACAGUAGCCCAUGGGAGAUACCAUGAUCAGCAAGGUGGUUUUCCCAGAGUGAGGCUCAUCCAUUGCACUGCGGGUGUGCUGACCUCUGUGAUUUCCCCAAAUGCGGGCAACUCAACUCCAGAAUUUGUAGUAGUGGGGGACUGCGUUCGCGCUUUCCCCUG
ensembl:snRNA U1 U1 spliceosomal RNA